UACAGAGGGUGCAAGCGUUAAUCGGAAUUACUGGGCGUAAAGCGUGCGCAGGCGGUUAUGUAAGACAGGUGUGAAAUCCCCGGGCUUAACCUGGGAACUGCAUUUGUGACUGCAUAGCUAGAGUACGGCAGAGGGGGAUGGAAUUCCGCGUGUAGCAGUGAAAUGCGUAGAUAUGCGGAGGAACACCGAUGGCGAAGGCAAUCCCCUGGGCCUGUACUGACGCUCAUGCACGAAAGCGUGGGGAGCAAACAGG
rnacentral:rRNA from 1 species